GAUGAAGAACGUAGCGAAAUGCGAUACGUAAUGUGAAUUGCAGAAUUCAGUGAAUCAUCGAAUCUUUGAACGCAUAUUGCGCUCUCUGGUAUUCCGGAGAGCAUGCUUGUUUGAGUAUCAGUAAACACCUCAACUUCCAUAUCUUUUUUGAAAUGGGAGUUGGACUUGAGUGAUCCCAACGCUUUUCCUCACCGAAAAGUGGCGGGUUACUUGAAAUGCAGGUGCAGCUGGACUUUUCUCUGAGCUAUAAGCAUAUCUAUUUAGUCUGCCUAAAAACAGAUUAUUACCUUUGCUGCAACUAACAUAAAGGAGAUUAGUUCUUGUGCUGACUGAUGCAGGAUUCACAAAGACAGGCUUCGGCCGACUUUGUAAACUCGAUCUCAAAUCAAGUAAGACUACCCGCUGAACUUAAGCAUAUCAAUAAGCGGAGGA
rnacentral:misc_RNA from 1 species